CAGGAAUAAUUCUCCUUUUGUCUUGGUCCCUGCACUGGUAAUUGGAGAGAGUGAGACAAGCAAAGAAGAAAAAAAAUUGGUUUGUUCGUCAGAGAAGAACAUUUGAAGGUUCCCUCCUCAGAAGGCCAGUGUAAAGCUGUUGUGUCACUUCAAUACCUCUCAGCCCUGCAAGGUGUCUCCUUUUGUUGGCAGAUUUCCAGUUCUCUCUGCAUUGCUUCUCUCCUUUGGAAAUAAGGCACUGAAUAAGGAUCUCUCUUCUUCAGAGCCCUGCUCCUCUUUCCCUUGGCUCCUGUGGUGAAAGUAAUUAAGAGCAAUUGAUUGCUAUAGAAAUAUUAAUAUUUAUUAUUGGUACUGCAGUAAUAUCCUGAAGCUUCAGCAGCUGUGAUAUAAAUAUAUGAGAGAGCAAUAACUGUGGUAGUGGCAGCUGAGGAUUAUUACUUCAACCACAAGGUCAAUAACCCUGCCAUCAUGUAGGUGGACUCUGAAAAAAGUGAAGUAGGGAACCUCCCAGAAAAAAAACCCUGCAAAACACAGUUGCAAACAUUUGCAUGCAACACAAAUGGAAUAAUUUUAAGCACCGUUUCUCUUGAAAGGAUCUCUGAGAACUGAUAUCUAUGAAUCAGUCUUUUGAGAAGUUGAUGAAUAUGGAUUGACAGAAAAAAAAUCCUCCAUUUAAACUUCCUUACCAUGAGUCUGCUUAUCUUCUGCAAUUGUACCAUGUGCUUCAUUCUGCUGAAAGUUAACUGCAAUCAUCAGAAAAGUUUGUCAAGACACAAGCACAGUAAAGGAGCAGUUUUAUCUUGGUGUGCCUGGCCUGCCAAACCACCAUGCUAGAGCAUUAGCCUCUAAUAUUUCCUGUUAAGUGUAUCCUACCACAAAAGGCUAUCUUCCUUUUGAGGAAGAAUAUAACAGUGAGAUUUGUGAAAGCAGACAGCAUCCAUUCCACUUUGCUGCCACUGCUGACUGCAGUAUCAUUGAUUCUGGCCAAGAGUGAAGUUAUUUUAAAUAUCUCCAGUCUCUUAUUUUGUCUAGAAAGAGAUCCUGCAUGAAAAAUGUAUAAUUGCAGUAGGCCCCAGAUGAUACAAUUUCAAGGUACCACAACAAAAUGGUUACCAAAAAAAAAAUAAAAAUUACACAUUAAAAAGAUAAUAAAAAAGAACAUUUGAGAUGUGUCUGCUUUUUCAAAUCGCACUAUAACAAUUUGAAGAACAUGGAACACUGCUCCAUGGAAAUUCCUCUACUUCAUGUCUUUGUGCUAAAAAAUUUACUUUAAAGAAAAUUUUCACCCACUAUAGUGGAUUAGUGUGUUACUAUUUAGGCACACACAGAUUAAGAGGAUAUACAUACCAUGUGUGUGUCUGAUGAGUUUUUAACAGCUUUAUCUAUUUACUAAUGAGUCAAGAAAAUUUUAGUUAGAACAUGAGAUGGAAUGAUAAUGCACUUUAAAUCUAUGAAGGGAUUUUAUGAAAAUGACAAGGGCCAAUCAUUCUAAUUAGCCAAGAAAGAACAAGAUGUAAAAGGAUUAAAGGAACAUUGUCAGAUUGCAUUUUAGAAACCAUCUAAUUGUACAAAGUCCAUACUCUGACAACUUACACUUUAAAUAGCAUGUCCUGGCUUUGAGA